GCUUAACGCGUGCAGUCCGCUGUCUGCUUUCCUCGCUAGAUUUUACCUCUUGACCUCGUGUUAGUUGCGAUUUUCGGCAACAAAUUUACUCAUUUUUCAAUGCUGUUCAAGGGUUUAAGUUUAUUACAAAACCUAGAAGUGUCGUGAAGCACAUGGGUCAGGAAUAUCAUCGGGAUUUCGACUUACCUUGUGAAUCAUUAGAGGAUGUUAAUUUUUGGAACCUAAAGCACCUUCGCAAGCUCCCGAGAAUCAAGUCAAAACAUAUAAGUAAUUGAAAGAUUAAGAUUUUAGCAUGGACAUUAACCAUCCAUCAUUGUUUUGGUCUCUAUAAGUGGAACAAUUACAGCUAGUACUUACAGUAGUUACAACACAUGAACAAUAUUGAAGCUUCUAUAAAAAAUGCAAUAGCAUUCACAAGGGAGUGGGUUCAUAAGGACUGGCAAAUGUUUUGAUUUUGCCCUUGAUCUAAGGAAGUUGUCUUUCAAACGGUAAUGUGAUGUCUUAUGGGCACCAUGUAUAAAAAAUCUUCAUCAGCAUUCCAGAAACUUCU